ACCUUAAUAGUUUAAAAAAAACCCUGGUCUUGUAAAUCAGAAAUAAGAUUAGUCUUUUAAGGU
rnacentral:tRNA from 2 species